AGGCCCCUCCUUCCCAGACACAGCUUUGGCUCACCCCUGCCACGUCAAAGAGGCAGAAAGGGAGUCAGGAGCAGAGAGGGGACCA
rnacentral:pre_miRNA from 1 species